rnacentral:rRNA from 1 species
AUUGAACGCUGGCGGCAUGCCUUACACAUGCAAGUCGAACGGUAACGGGCCUUCGGGUGCCGACGAGUGGCGAACGGGUGAGUAAUGUAUCGGAACGUAUCUUUCAGUGGGGGAUAACGUAGCGUAAGUUACGCUAAUACCGCAUAUUCUGUGAGCAGGAAAGCAGGGGAUCGCAAGACCUUGCGCUGAUUGAGCGGCCGAUAUCAGAUUAGCUAGUUGGUGAGGUAAAGGCUCACCAAGGCGACGAUCUGUAGCGGGUCUGAGAGGAUGAUCCGCCAGACGGGAGCUGGGGCACGGUCCAGACUCCUACGGGAGUCAGCAGUGUGGAAUUUUGGACAAUGGGGGCAACCCUGAUCCAGCCAUGCCGCGUGAGUGAAGAAGGCCUUCGGGUUGUAAAGCUCUUUCGGCCGGGAAGAAAUCGUAUCAGCUAAUACCUGGUGCGGAUGACGGUACCGGCAUAAGAAGCACCGGCUAACUACGUGCCAGCCGCCGCAGUAAAAC